AUUUCGAACAGUUGCCAACACAACGUUUUUCCAGGGCCCAGCAUCACCUGGCAUUGAAGAGGGACCCUGAGGGAGGGAAUAAGAACACUGAGACUGGAGAGUACAUUGUCAGAGGUCUUAGUUACAACAAAGAGGAAUUCAACUCAAAAUUAAACAAACAAAAGAAGGAGGAGGGGGAAAAGAAAGAAAGAGAAAAAGCCAUGUACUGGAUCAGGGUUCCCAAGGAUGGUCUCAUUGGCUGGGUUGGGGUCACAUGCCCACGCCUGGAAUCUGCACCAAGACUGGGAGAAGGCAGGGCCUACAGAGAAGAGUCAGAAUGCUGAGACCAAAGAUGGGAAGGUGAUUCUGGGUGGAGCCUCUGUCUACUCCUUCCUGCUUCUAAGGACCAAGAACUCUGAGCCAAGAGCAGCUGAGGAAAAACCUAUGAAGUGUGCAGGGCUAGGAAUCCAAAGAAGACCAAAGUCCAGAAGACCAAAGUCCACACUCAAUGCCCACAUUUAGAAGCUGUAUGACUUUUGAUUUCUCUUGGAAAAUCUGAAAAGAAUAGAGAUCAGCGCCACUGGACUUGUAUUCACAUAGGACAUUGGCUGGAGCUGAGCAGCUGCGCCCUCUUUGGGUGAAAACAGGCAUUUUCCAGUUUCCACAGUCUGGCUGGCCGGCUCUUUGUUUUCCCAGCUGGUCUUUUAGAGGCAGCUUUUGACUUGGCUCCUGAUUCUAAAAUUUGCUCUGGGAUAUGCCGGAGCAGCAGAGACCUACAUACCAAGAACGUGGCAUUGCUUGCCCUUGAUUACGGAAUUACCUCUGCACAUGACAUUUUUCACCUCCUCUCCAGCAGAGUGGAACGCCCUGUUGUUUAAGACAAAGCUGUUGUUAAGGCCAUGGACCUCUAGUUACAUGGUUUCUUCUCUACAAAGGCACAUGAGAGAAAUCCUAUAAUCUCAAAACCAGGAUCACUGUCGUGGCGUUCCUCUUGAAGAUCAGCUGUGAAGGGGGUGCAGGAUUGUUUCUCUGAGCUCGGCCUGCAACUCAGGGCUCACCUCUCAGAAGCACUCCAUGAACUGCCGUGGGGCUACCCUUGUGAGCAGCUCCAUUUCACUUCUUAGACUUGUUUUACUAUUGCUAUUUCUGACUUCUUUUAAAUUUUAUCAUAGUAUAAGGCUUGUAUCUUUGAAAAGUCAGACUUCAAUCUUGAUUAGAAUAAAGCAAGGUUUAAAUAAAUGAAUUCCUGCCCCCAACAUACACC